rnacentral:lncRNA from 1 species
UAAGAAAAUAAAUGAAAAUCUAUAAGAAUAAUAAAGAUGGAUAUAUUUAGAGAUGUAAAGAAAAAUUCUGUUUUUGGUGCAUGUUUAAAUAGUGGGUUGAAUACAAUAGUCAUGUUUAGACUAGGUAUUGAAAAGGCAAAAUAAUAUAUAUGAAGAAGAUAUUUUUGUUAUGUUGAUUGAAAUAACAAUUGAAAUUUCGACAGAGAGACUGAAGAGUUAAAACACAAUUGGAACAUUUUAAGGCAUUGCAUAUUCAGGAUUAGACUAAGUUCUAAUAUUUCAACCUAUUGUAGAGAUCUCACAUUGCACAGCAAGAGAUGAGCAUGUGACCUGGAUUAGCAUCCUGGAUAGACACAGUGCCAGCAUCAUGGAUAGACACAGUACCAGCAUCAUGGAUAGAGAGUACCAGAUGCAGGAUGGCAGUCACCAGUUCCAGUAUCCAAGUUCUUCAAACCUGACUUGACAGAACAAAGAGAUGUUGUAAGUCCUUGGGUGAAAGAGACUGUGAAGACUGGAGGUUCUCUGUAAAAGUGAGGUUAUGUUCUUUAAUAAAUAUUUUAUUCCACUUCAGCACCUACUUUGGAAAAACUCAGCAUUCAACACAAACCGAAUUGCAAAGGAUCCUCACGUUCCCACCAGGCUUUUCCUGAACACUUUUCCCUGGGUGAUGUCACCUCACUAAUAGUUCAAGGAAAGAACUUUUGAAAGCAGAACAAAAAGGCACACAGUACACACAACAACAACUUAGAGCAACAAACAGAUUUUUUAAUGCACAACAACCAUAUUCUAUUUACACUUUGUCCAACUCUUUCUAAAUUUGUACAUCUGCUCUCAAUAUGCUAUUCUGCCUCAAGAACUGUUACAGGCAUUUGGGGAUUAAAAUGGUGCUUUCCAGAUGUGUUUAUUCAUUUAAACUGAGGGAAAAAAAAGUGCUCUUCUCAUAAUAUCACUACAUAAAGGAUUUAACCUGGGGAAGUUGUUAUUUGAUGCUUCAAUGCCUUGGUAUUUUCCUUUAGGGGGUAACAUAACAGAUGUGAUUAAAAAAAAAAAUCUAUCUGGGCCACAGAGGGAAUAUAUUCAAAAUGGACCCUUAUUUUAGAAAAAAAAAAAGAAAGAAAGAAAGAAAGAAAGAAGGAAAGGAAGGAAGGAAGGAAGGAAGGAAGAAAGGAAGAAAGAAAGAAAGAAAGAAAGAAAGAAAGAAAGAAAGAAAGAAAGAAAGAAAGAAAGAAAGUAAACAGAAAGACAAUGUGCUUCUUGUAAGUGGACAUUCAUCGGGACAGAGAUUUUCUUAUGUGGGACUCCUCCAGAGGAGCACAUUUGUAUUUUGGGUUGAGUGCAUCUAUUCUGCCUAAAGGAUACAGAGGAAGCUAUGGAUACUGACAAUAUCCCACUCUAGGAAUCAUUUAAAGCACACUAUAGGUCUUGGUGCCCACACAUCUACCCUCAUUCUGGUUAGGCAGUGUUUUUUUUUUUUUUUUUUAAAUCUGGAGAGUGUUUAAAAUAGUUGCAUACUUAUAUCUCAGAAUUACUGCUAAGAAGUUCCUUACAUUCAGCUACUUUGCAAUCUAUUCUAUACACAGCACCACAUUGAACCCUUUUAAAACUCAUAUUCAUUUGAAUGAUUUAUCUUUAUAUGAUAGCUACUAAAAGUUCAAAGUAGAACUAUUCUACAAUCACUACUUACUGAUUUAGUCUAGUACCAUUUAGUCAUUGCUAUGAAAUAUCUUAUUAUUUUCUUUACAAAUGUCUGUUUGUAUUUCAAGACAAACAAUGAAGACAUUUUAAGUGUCACCUUUGCACCAGAAGAUAAAGUAAGUAUAUCCCUGAGCUCAAUUACCUUAGUGAAGAUCAUAUAGGGAAUAUGUAGAAGGUGUCACAUUUUAACAUGGUGUUCUUGGCUCUUCUUUGUAUAUUCCCAAACACUUGUUGUAUUUUUCAAAUAAAUGCCUUCAUGUAAUAUCUAGACCCCUUGAUAUAAGACAGAGAUGUAAUGGUAGCUUUGACGAUACUUUCCAAAUUUUCAAAGUGUUCCUCGUGCCAGAGACACUUUCAUAUAUCAAGCAUUUUAAAAAUACAUUAAUUUUGUUGCCAUAGAAAUACAUGUCACCAGGAGAAAAAAAUGUUCCAAGAGAUAUGCUAAUUGUGCUGCACACAGCUCUGUCUAGUUGAUGGUUCAUGUUUCACAAUGAUGCAAUGGAUCUGUUUUGCCUUGCUAAGAAAAGAAACAUACUACACUUUAGCAUUUGAUAAAAACAGUUGACCAUUACCUGAGAAUAAACAAGACAACCAUAUUUUAACCAAAGUACAGAAUAAGAUACUAUACGUUACUAUUACUUCUAAAGGAAAAAGCAUUUACAAAUCCAUCCCUGUACCAAAAUUCUUGGAGAACAUGUAAUCAGCUAGCAGAGAGUAACCAGAGAUUAUAGGCAGCUUCAGGACUAAGCAAAGAAGAGAUCCUUCUGUAGCAAUGCAGAACUGCAGACAAAGAUUUAACAACACAUAUCAGGAGAGAGCUUACCUUGCUAGUGGAACUGUUUCUGAAGAUGCUAAACUUGAAGGGAAUUUUAAGCAGUGUGGAUGAGAAAUCUGAGAUUUUAAUAAAUAAAAAUGCUCCCACAAGGAUAUGAUAUAACUGGUCGCAUUAGUUUUGCACAAGAGCACAGUUAAAGAGAGCAGAAGAAAAGCAAAGCACAGUGUUUGGAUAGUCCAGUUAAAAGAGGGUUCGUGGUUUUCUUGAGUGUCCCUGAACUCCUACUGAGAGCUAAUGUCAUCUUCAUUAAGUUUCUUUUAGUUUAAUGCCCAUUUGUCAUCUAAUAAAAAGACAUUGGUGUUUUACACUCUUCCAUGGAGGUUAUGUGUUUAAAACUAAGGUACUAUAUUUACUGAAGAGGUGUUUUUUAAAGAGUCUAUAUCUACACACCAUGGAGAAAGGGGCAAUGGGUGACCACAGAAACCAUUUUAUCAAGAAUCUGUGAGUUCUUUGAGGUUUCUUUCAUGGUGAAUGGUCACACGCUAUUUGAAAAUCAUGAGAUGACAAGUAGAUACAGUAAAUAACAAACAACAAAAUAAAAGAAAGAAUUCUACACAGGGUAUGAGGGAGUUCUGAUGAGACUGUAUCCCUUGAUUACUUUGUACAACUAAAGACAACAUUAGGAAGUCUCCUUUUCUGAUUGAGUAUCCUCCAAGGAGUGGCGCAUGGGUCUUUAAAGUUUUGGGGGUUUGUUUUGCUUUUUAAGUUCUCUAUGCCUCUUGCUCCUCCUUCUUACAUCCAAGAUGAAACAACAGCAAAAUAUACAUUAUUCAUGAAAUGUAAGUAAAUAAACUCUGGUUAUCAAAAGAAAAAUACAAGCCUGGAUGGACUAUACUGAAAACAAACAGAAUUGUAUCAGUCCUGGAAUCAAGAAUGGGUAAUACAGGUAAGAAGAGUAAUAUUCCAUGUGUUGUUCUAAAUGUUGUAUAUAACAAAAACACAAAUCAGUUUCUAUUUUCUGUACUAGGACACAUCAGAGGUUGGGGAAUCCUUAACAACUGAUGAGCAUCCAUCAAUGUCUGAUUAGAACACUCCAAAUACCUAAUGGACAAUGAGUAAUAUAGUGAUGGCAUUAAAAACACUACUCUAAGGCUAGAGAAACUGUUCAAUGGCUAAGAGACCUAGUUAUCCAACUCACAGGGCAAGUCACAGUAAUCUGAACUUUAGAGAAUUGGGGUUUCUUACAUGGCCAAUGGUCACACAUUAUUUGCAAAUCAUGAGAUGACAAGUAGAUACAGUAAAUAACAAAAAACAAAAUAAAAGAAUUCUACACAGGAUAUGAGGGAGUUCUGAGUUUGGAACCCACAGUUUUAGAGAAUCCAAUAUUUUAUUCUGGCCUCCAAGAAUAGUAGGGGCUUAAACAGGCAUAUGUUAUAAAUGAAAAACACAUAUACACACAAAAUGAUAUCAAUAACAAAGAUAUUUCCAAGAAAGAAGAAUGGGAAGUACUACUAGAGGCAGCCAUUUUAUUUAUUUCUCACUGAAUAAAGAGACCCUAGUGUAUACCUGAUUAUCUAUGACCAAGCUAACAGUGAUGCAGAAAGGUCAUUCUAUCUCCCACUC